rnacentral:lncRNA from 1 species
UAUAGACCCAGACACCCUGAGGUCUCCUCCUCUACCCCUCUAUAAACCCAGACACACUAAGGUCUCCUCCUCUACCCCUCUAUGAACCCAGACACCCUGAGAUCUCCUCCUCUACCCCUCUAUAGACCCAGACACACUAAGGUCUCCUCCUCUACCCCUCUAUGAACCCAGACACCCUGAGAUCUCCUCCUCUACCCCUCUAUAGACCCAGACACACUAAGGUCUCCUCCUCUACCCCUCUAUGAACCCAGACACCCUGAGAUCUCCUCCUCUACCCCUCUAUAGACCCAGACACCCUGAGGUCUCCUCCUCUACCCCUCUAUAGACCCAGACACCCUGAGAUCUCCUCCUCUACAGACCCAGACACCCUGAGAUCUCCUCCUCUACAAACCCAGACACACCAAGGUCUCCUCCUCUACCCCUCUAUAAACCCAGACACACUAAGGUCUCCUCCUCUACCCCUCUAUAGACCCAGACACCCUGAGAUCUCCUCCUCUACCCCUCUAUAAACCCAGACACCCUGAGGUCUCCUCCUCUACCCCUCUAUAGACCCAGACACCCUGAGAUCUCCUCCUCUACAAACCCAGACACCCUGAGGUCUCCUCCUCUACCCCUCUAUAGACCCAGACACCCUGAGAUCUCCUCCUCUACCCCUCUAUAGACCCAGACACCCUGAGGUCUCCUCCUCUACCCCUCUAUAAACCCAGACACCCUGAGGUCUCCUCCUCUACCCCUCUAUAGACCCAGACACCCUGAGAUCUCCUCCUCUACCCCUCUAUAGACCCAGACACCCUGAGGUCUCCUCCUCUACCCCUCUAUAAACCCUGAGAUCUCCUCCUCUACCCCUCUAUAAACCCAGACACCCUGAGGUCUCCUCCUCUACCCCUCUAUAGACCCAGACACCCUGAGGUCUCCUCCUCUACCCCUCUAUAAACCCAGACACCCUGAGAUCUCCUCCUCUACCCCUCUAUAGACCCAGACACCCUGAGAUCUCCUCCUCUACCCCUCUAUAGACCCAGACACCCUGAGAUCUCCUCCUCUACAAACCCAGACACCCUGAGGUCUCCUCCUCUACCCUCUGGACCCAGACACCCUGAGAUCUCCUCCUCUACCCCUCUAUAGACCCAGACACCCUGAGGUCUCCUCCUCUACCCCUCUAUAGACCCAGACACCCUGAGAUCUCCUCCUCUACCCCUCUAUAGACCCAGACACCCUGAGGUCUCCUCCUCUACCCCUCUAUAAACCCAGACACCCUGAGGUCUCCUCCUCUACCCCUCUAUAAACCCAGACACACUGAGGUCUCCUCCUCUACCCCUCUAUAAACCCUGAGAUCUCCUCCUCUACCCCUCUAUAGACCCAGACACACUCCCAGUCCUGGAGGCUAAACAGAUCCUAGAUCAGCACUGUUUUUUGUUUUGUUUGUUUUUUUAUGUUAAAAAUGUACCCAUUGUUGGCAAUCAGUCAGUAUAGACCUGUUAAUAUAUUAUAUAUACAGCAUUGACUAUGGCUCUAUUUUUAAAUGAAGAAAGUGUGUGUGUGUGUGUCCAAAGGUGAUGGAUAAUGAACUAUUAACUGGCAUUAUAAUGAUGUUGUCAAAUGUCUUGGGAGGGGAAUCAUGGUUGGAUUAAAAUAUCAGAAUGAAUUAAACCUGUAUAUUGUGUUUGUUUAAUUUAUUUGAGUGAGUGAGUGAGUGAGUGAGUGAGUGAGUGAGUGAGUGAGUGAGUGGGUGGGUGGGUGGGUGGGUGGGUGGGUGGAAAUACCAGUGGUGGUUCCAGAUGACAUCU